ensembl:lncRNA MIR4435-2HG MIR4435-2 host gene
CGUGUGUACAUCAUUGGGAAUGGAGGGAAAUAAAUGACUGGAUGGUCGCUGCUUUUUAAGUUUCAAAUUGACAUUCCAGACAAGCGGUGCCUGAGCCCGUGCCUGUCUUCAGAUCUUCACAGCACAGUUCCUGGGAAGGUGGAGCCACCAGCCUCUCCCUGACAAGCAAAGUGGAUCAGCAAAGGCUGCAGUCACCAGCAUCUUUUCCAACCUUAAUGAACUGUAUCCUCAAAAGAACACUAUCAGACUGGUAAGACAAGCAUUAUUGUCCCACUUCACAGAUGAAGAGCUUGGGGGCCCUGUGGAUGUGUAGGAGAGUCGGCCUUCCUUUUUAUAGGCCUUUUGCUGAGCUCAGAGGACAGAGCAGAAGACAAAGCCGAAUGCAGCCCUAAGCAGACACUAUCCCAGCCCAAGGAGCUAUGCAGACAGCUCCUGCCUAGAGGAGAAACAAUUCUCUCCUUCAGCCAGGCAUGUGGCACAGAGGUGAACAGGAAAUGCUUAGGGAGACAGUUCACAGAUAUAUAUGUACUUCACAGGGCACAAUUUAAUCCAUAAAUCAAUCAUGGAUCACCGCUAAAGAAAACAAAAUAUGCUGCCACUAAUUUGCCACCACCCUGUGAGCAUGAUUGGAUGAUGUUUAUUUUGAUUAGGAGAUUGCUCCAUUUAUAAAUCUUCAAUACAUCCUGUCCCCCUAAAACGGCAUCUGGGUCUUUUGAGGGUUAAAAAAAAAAAAAAGUGAAAUUGGAUGAGGGAUGAGAGCUGGACUUCUGUGUGUCCCGGGGUCCCUGGAUCCACAGCCUGGUGCCUAGCAUCAGUUAAGCCCACGCUGGGGUCGCAUCACAUCCCGCAAAGCCACGUGCUCUGUGAGGCCAACAGGAGCCCCGCCGGGUGGACCAGCUGGAAUCUCAGAGAGCGCCGACUCUGAAACUACCCGGCUCUGCAGAAGCACGCUGGGCCCAGGGGCUUCUAGACUGACAGCUCCAUUUAUCAACUACCUAUUGGUUUUAAAAAUUGGAGUGUCUUUUCCGCGUUGACUGAUUUUGGCUCUAAGAGAUGUCGCUGGUCAUUUCAGAGUGACUGAACCUCCCCUCUAACAGAUCCCGGGAAUUGUUUUCAGGAAAGGUAAAAGGCAGCCUUUUCUGUCACAACACAACGCUGAGCCGGCAGCCUGGCUCUGUCAGGAUCUGGGGCUCCCGCGCCCGAGAAGCCCAGCCUCGCCGGCGGCCAAGUUCACCGCGAGGCCCCGCGCUGCCUGCGCUGCGCUCCCGGACCCGCACCGACCGCAGCGCGCGCCGCCGGUGCUUCUCCCACCCCAGCCUGGAAGCUGCCUCCCUCCGCCUAUGCCUGCAGGAUAAGAAGCCCGAGGAGGCGGAGCAUGGAACUCGACAGUUAAAACAUUUAAGAGAGAAAACCUAGUGUCUUGCUGGCCUGAAAUCGAGUACGCAGCCCGGGGUGAUCAGGGUCUCCCGGCCCGGAUGUGUGAGACUUGCUUCCCCUGGGCAAUAGGCGAUACGAUGCUUUAGGAGGAAGGUGUCUCUCCCUCCUAAGCCCCGGAGGGGAGAACUUCCAAAGACAGAAAACCACAGGCUUCCUGGCACAGAGCUUUCCCUUUAUCAGCUAAAGCAGAAUCUUUUCUGGCCUUAACCUGGCCCCUUCCUCUAACUGCAGGCAGAGAGGCAGACAGAAAAGCACUUGCUGAAACACAAAGUUUUGUUCUGUCCUCAACGAACUGUCUAGAGCUGAUUGCUGAUAGUCGUGGUGCAUUAUGCCUUCCUGGUUUUCAUUUAAUUGGGCACCACGCUGCCUUUCAAGACGCCUUAAAGGAACCAACAACCAAAUCCAAGAGAGCUGGACAGACCAUUGAACACACAGUAGGCUGUGUCUCGUGGCUUUCGUUGUCUGGUGCCUCAAAGAAAACACCAGAAAGAUUGUUUCUAAGCUAGAGCCACCCCAGAUUGCUUAAAGUGCAAAGCUCACUGCUGUUGGGGGUACCCUUGUGAGACACUGGAAAGCUGGUUUUACCGUGGCCCUAUGAAGAGGAAGACUGAAAUUUAGACAGUAAUACCUUUACUAGGAUUGGAAAAGAUUUGGUUAAUGACAGCCCUGUCAUUUCUAAAACCCAUUAUCACUGUAUGAGAGAUUCCUUUGCGCUGCAUCCUCGACAGUGCUUCCUAAGGCUCUGCCGACUUCCAGUUCUGGAACAAGAUGGUUAAACUCAUUUUUCCCUGCUCUGCUCCUCUAAAUACAACUAAGUACCUUGGAAACUAUUCAGCAGACAAUGAUAAAGGGCUCUGAAAGCUAGAAGAAAAGGUGUACUUGCAAGAAACCUCAGGACUUGAGUAACAGCAACAUGGAAAGGAGAAAGAGACUACCUACUGCAUUUCUGUCACUCGCUGAAAAGGACACUCUGUCAGAAAAUCUUCUAGCAAACUUCAAAGGGCAAAAUCACCCCUUGUUACUGAUAAAGCCCAGAGAGCUUCAGCAGCUAACAUUCCCUGGACAGGGCACAGCAAGGAUUUGAACCUAGGUCAGUCUGGCCAGAACACCCACAAGCUUUCCUUAACUCAGUGUGCUAUCUCCCCACGACUAGGUCACUACUGCUUUAUAAUCACCUUUGUAGCCACCAGUGGAUUUUGCUCAUCAGUAUUUUUCAGGCAAUUGAUACUUUAGAUAUUCAGCUGCAAGACGUAUGCAGUUUUCAUUGACAUCUUUUGGAGAAACUGACAAACCUGGACUUGACUUAAUGCCUUUGGAACCUUCCAAGAUGUUAUAUAACUCUAGAUAGAAGGCUGGGCCUCCAUGAUGUCAGGAAUGUUGCAUUCUUAUUUCCCCAUAGAUAAACCCAUUUGUCCACAAAGUCAAGGAGUCAGGCAGAGGCCCUUGCCAUGGGGCUUUUUAGGAUAAAGCAACAAGCCUGGACUUUGCUCUACAACAGGGUUUUGCAUAGGGAGUGGUAUGACCAGAUCCCUCAAGAAAGAAAGCUUAGAGACCAGGCCAGAGUCCACUGCAGUAGCCCAGUCAAGAGAGGAUGGUGACUUGGACUUGUAGUAGAGCCAGUUAGAAUGAAAGAAAUUGACACAUUCAGAAAUGGUUUUAGAGAUAGAGUCAAACUGGACCUGAUAAAGAACUAGAGAAGCGGAGUGAGGAUAAAGAGAAGAGCCAUGACUGACUCGGAAGAUUUUGUCUUGAAAAACUUGAGAACUCAAGACAGAGU